UUUCUCUAACUGUCAGAUAAAAUUAGAAUUUGGUUAGUAUGUUCUUCUGAAUUGGAUAUCUAUAUCCAGUAGCUGUGGUAUUUCAGGCUGACUUUCUACUAUCAGAGUUGAAGACAUAGAGAUGAAUUGGUCAAAAUCUCUAAUCCUGGAAGCUUCAAUCUCCUGGGGAUCCCUGAUGAAAAACAGAGCAUGACACAAGAAUCUAUAUUACAAGUGCAUGAAAAACUUUACUGAAAGGGGUGGGGGAAAAGAGUGCUGACCUAAGUAAUUUUGAAUAUUAAUUGGAAUUUUGGAUAUUAAGUGAAGUCUGUGAAUCUAAAGGACUUGCUGCCAGCAUAUGGUGUGGAAAGAUAGUUGGCCUUUCAGAGAAUCCUCUCAGGAGCUUGCUUCCACAGAAGAGAGAGAUGAGCUUGUUCUUCGAAAAAUGUCUGUAUAUCGUGACUUGUUUAAAUGGCAAAAUUCACAAGCAUCAUACCACAAGUAAGGUGCCACUGUAGGAGUGCCCGUGUCAACAAUAAGAAAAUAUAUG